AGCCUUUUUUACUUCAGCAAUCAAACCAGGUAAAUUAGUUCUAAGGUAGGCAGCCUUGAGAGCUCCAAGGAAAUCUCUAGCAGGAGGGGCCCUCUCAAGGUCCCUUUUCAACGAGAUGAGAGGCCUUCUUUCUUUCAUCUGUGAAACUUCCUUGUCUUUGUACCAUAUGAUCUCCUCCAAAAUAUUCCUAGGAGUGUUCCCUUCAUUCUGUAAUCUGAACUGAAAGGGUCCAACAUAAUGCAAUGGCGGUCCCGUGGGCGGCCUGCGACGAAUCCUUAUGCCUUGACUUGCAGCUACUUCAUCUUGGAACAUCCCCACUU
rnacentral:misc_RNA from 1 species